rnacentral:rRNA from 1 species
GACGAACGCUGGCGGCGUGCUUAACACAUGCAAGUCGAACGGAAAGGCCCUGCUUUUGCGGGUUUCUCGAGUGGCGAACGGGUGUGUAACACGUGAGUAUCCUGCCCUUGUCUUUGGGAUAACUUCAGGAAACUGGGGCUAAUACCGGAUAGGAGCUCCUGCUGCAUGGUGGGGGUUGGAAAGUUUCGGCUGUUGUGGAUGGACUCGCGGCUUAUCAGCUUGUUGGUGGAGUAGUGGCUUACCAAGGCUUUGACGGGUAGCCGGCCUGGGAGGGGGACCGGCGACAAUGGGACUGAGAGACGGCCCAGAAGCGUACGGGAGGCAGCAGUGGGAAAUAUUACAGAAUGGGCGGAAGCCUGAGGCAGCAACGCCGCGUGCGGGAUGACGGCCUACGGGGUAAAAACAGCUUUCGACGGUAACGAAGCGUGAGUGACGGUAAUGGGUAAAGAAGCACCGGCUAACUACGUG